GCUAUGGUGGAGGGAUCUAGCAUGAGGGUCUGACAGAGCAGACUACCCAACUGGCCCCCACUGCCUGUGUUGGGCUGCAGCCCAGGCAGUUUCUUUUUCUCUCUCUGGUUGUAGAGUUGGGAAGUAUCCUGCACACCGACACAUAACGGAGGAUGGAAAGGAUUCAGACCACUCUGGUAUAAGCAUGGGGAUGAGUUCUUCAGCAAACCCCACCAGUAUCAAGGAUUUGCAGAAAGACUCCAUCUGAUUAGAGGGUCAAUUCCUUCUGUCUGCCAUAGUUUCCAUGGACACGGCAAAACGACCCAGCCGAAAUUUGGUUGUGGGCUCAACAUGGAAUCCGAUCCACAGGUUGCCUCCAAUCUACAGACAUUUUCCAGCAUGCCACCAAUCAACACUUUACUCCCUCCCUGCUGUGAGGCAAAUGUGAUUCCAAGACACCACCUGUGUGGGAUGAGAGGUUAUGACCAGACCUAUGCUCUGUCAAGGAUAUGUUCAAGUGGCCUGGAGUAGAGCAGUUAUGCACUGUUUUAUGCUGGUUCAUCAGGUGAAAUCCCAAUAAAAUACAUUGAAGUUUGUGGUUGACAAAGUGGGGAUUCAUUUUGCAAAUUGCUAUACAUAUUUUGUUGACCUUCACAUUUUUAUUCAUAUAUUUGGAGCAUGUAUUAAUUAAACCUAUAUAUAAGAAUGUAUAUUUAAACUUUAAAUUAUACUUGUGAAAAAUAAUUUUGAGUAGUCUUAACAUAACGAGCUAAAGGAAUAAUCAAUCAAACUGACUGUAUAAAUUGGAAACAAUUAAGCUGUUUACGCUACUUCUUU